CUCAUUCCUAGUUUUGCUCUCCUCCUCCCUGUUGGUACAUCAGAAGUUUACUGCUCGCCUGUUAGGCUUUGCUGAGCUGAGGUCUGGGUGCUUUUUUUUGACUCAACUCCCUGACACCCCUAUUUGCACCCCAGGAUAACAAGAGCAGGAGGUGAAAGAGGGGAGUGGAGAUCAGCCUGAUACCAACUGGCCCUACUCACUUGGACAAGAGGAAAUCUCCUUAAAAAAAAACUAAAUUAGGAGAGAAAAAAAGCAGAUGAAUGCAUAAAGCUGGGAUUUUGCAUGUAGCAUCCACAAGCAGAAGGAACAGAUCCACCCCAGAGAACCACACCUGACACCCCUACAUUCCUGGACCCCUGGAUAUUAUAUCACUCAAGAGGAGCUUUUGGGGAAUUUUGCCCCCUCCACCCCCUCCCACCCUGUCCUCCCCCUUCUGCAGCCUUUUCAUUAUUACUUUUUUGGGGUUUCAUGUGAACUGGAGGUGAGCUAUGCUUUUGGGGAGCCAGGAAUCCGUUAAAUUAAGGUAAGGGUCAUCUGCACACAUUUGAGGGGGAUGAGGGAUUAAGGUACAGGAGGGGACCAUUCCAGCCCCCCAUCCCCAGAAGGGGACAAUGGGUUGCCAAGUUUAAGUUGCUAUAAUGGGUUAUGUGACAGCACAGAGGUGUUAUGGAGGUUUGUCAUGGUCAUAUCCCUUGACCAUUGUAAAUCUACUUAGAGGGUCUCUACAGUAUCCAGGUAAAGAGAAUUGAUGCUCCAUAAACCCUUACACUUCCUGGGAACAAUGAAAACCAUUUCAAGCUUAACCAUUUAUUUUUUUUAUUCCACAGUAUUUUCUAAAAAUAUUUUUCUCUUUCUUUUUGCUCAUAUUUUGCAGCCAUUCUAAAAACAAUAGUUGCAAGAUGGUUGGAAUUUUAUAGCACUCUAAUGUAUCCAUUUUGCCAAGCAGAGGGUUAAAUACUUUGUAGCCUGUGUAAGGUAACUUAAUCCAAUUUAGGAAGAGGGUGAUGAUCUUUUACACCCCCACCCCCCAAAAAAUAUUGUUAGUGCAGUUAAUAGUGUACUAUUUGCUAUUAGAAUGUAUAUGUUAUAUAAUGUAGUGAGUAUAUAAUAAGAAUUGUUUGGUAUUCUCCACCCAGAAGGGAUUGGAAUGGAAAGGGGUUCUAUAAGGGAUUUCACUCAACUUUUCACCACCCACAAAUGGUAUUUUCUACAAGAACAUCAGGAAACGGUUUCCUUUUUUCCCAGUGCUUCGGGAACCAAAGUGUUUGUUUUUUUUGUAGUUUUUUUUAACCUUUUUUUUUUUUUUUUUGUACUUUGCAGAAAAAUGUGUCAGUUUUACAAUUUGGGCAGUGGAAACGGAAUCGUUUUCUCCCUGAAAUAACAUGUCAGGGGGGGUUAGAACGUAGAAUAUAUAAUAUGUACAAUAGGCGUCUACUGUAUAUUUACUGUAUGUAAACUGUAUAUGGUGUGUGUAUAGUCUGUGUUAAUGCAGCUCUCUCACACAAUAUGUCUGAUCUAUAGGAUCAUUAUAUUACUGGAUCAGGCAUACUUGUUGGGGGAGGGUGUAUGUACACUGCUUUUUAAGCUAAUUAUUCUCCUGGGGUAUUACUUAUUCUGAUAUUCUGUAGGUGGAUUACUUUGUCAAAAUAUUCAGGGCUAUUUUAUUUAAACAUCCUGUGCAGUACAUUAGAUGUACUGUAAAUGUGCACACAUCAUAUAUACACAGUCACACACAAACAAUAUACGUAUAUAUAUAUAUAUAUAAUUCUCCGAAUAAUACCUGGAUAGAUACACACUUUUGGUACAUGUGCUUGCGCGUGUUGGGGUAUAUAAUGUGAUAAGUGACAGAAUCGUGUUAGAUUAACGUUAUCAGUACUGGUAUUAUGCACGCUAUCAUUUAAACUCAUAGGCAACCCACCUAAAAUUCGCCGUGCUCCUGACCCAAUGCCUUUGGCAAAUUAUGAAGGAGUGCCGGCUGAUAGACAAAAGAAACCGCUUUACUUUUUCCCUGCGAGAGAAGAUCGUCUCCCUUGGUUAGACAGAGUACAUCUCACUGCUACAGAGCUCCUUUCUAUCACUGUGUAAUUUAUUGGGGGGGGACGAGCGAAAAAGUAAAUUAACACAAAUUGUCUUUCCAUUUUAAAAGGCACAUUCAUUGGACAAUGUACAGAUACGUUAAUGUUAAUUUAUUGCUCUUUUAGCCAUUAUUCUUUUUUCUCGUCGUUUUUCUCUUCUUCACUUGACUUUUACUAUAUUUCUGUCUUUUGACAUGUGUGUAGUUCUUUUCUUCUACGGUCCAUCUUUUACAGACUAUUUUACCUUUUACAUCAGAUUUCUACUUUCUUCUGUUUUGUCCUUUUUAUUUAUAUAGUGUUUCUUUUCAUCCAUCUUGAACUAUAUCCUGUUAAUUUUAACCAUUUAUUCCAAAUAUCAAAUUUGUUUCUUAAGCCAUAACUCUAUCUCUUUAGACUUUUUAACUAUAUUUUCUCUAUUCUUACUUUUCUGUAAUGUACUUUUAAUGUAGUUCUACUUUUUGUUUCCCUAUUUUCCUCACUCCUUUUCCAACGUGGGACUUUAUGUGAGGUGUUGUUUAUGUCCCCUUUAAUCACUGCGUUUUAUUUUGUUUGUUUUAGGUGCCGUUUGCUAUCAUGACUGAUGGCGAGAGGAGAGAGACCUUCCAGCCGCUGGCCGGAGAUGAUAUCCGGGUCCCUAUACCCCCCAUGCCUCAGGCUGGGGAUCACGUUGAGGAAGAAAAUGGGGGAACUGCAGACAAAUCUGCUCUGGGCAGUAUGGGCUCUGGAGGUUCUUCUGGAAGAGGUCGUGGUCCGGGCUUGGGCUCAGAAGAAGGAGAACUGGUUCCAUAUCCAGCAUUGGCUCCCACUGUGUUCUUCUGUCUCAAACAAACCACUCGUCCUCGAAGCUGGUGUCUCAAACUGGUCUGUAACCCAUAUCCUUUCCAUUGGUGCUGGAUACCAAAAUAUCUCCUCCAUGGUCUACUCUCCUCUCAUGCAGGAAGAGGACCUGGAAGGUUGGAUGAUGUUCUCUUGAGUUGCCCGAUUCAAAUUCAUGGUGUUUUUAAGCGACAUAUUCUUACUUUCUUG